rnacentral:rRNA from 1 species
GUAGAGGAUGCUUUUGGUGAGGCGCCUUCCGAGUUCCCUGGAACGGGACGCCGGAGAGGGUGAGAGCCCCGUACGGUUGGACGCCAAACCUCUGUAUAGCUCCUUCGACGAGUCGAGUAGUUUGGGAAUGCUGCUCUAAAUGGGAGGUAAAUUUCUUCUAAAGCUAAAUACCGGCCAGAGACCGAUAGCGCACAAGUAGAGUGAUCGAAAGAUGAAAAGCACUUUGAAAAGAGGGUUAAAUAGCACGUGAAAUUGUUGAAAGGGAAGCGUUUGCGACCAGACUUUUUCCAGGCGGAUCAUCCGGCGUUCUCGCCGGUGCACUCCGCCUGGUUGAGGCCAGCAUCGGUUUCCUUAGGGGGAUAAAGGCCUGGGGAACGUAGCUCCUUCGGGAGUGUUAUAGCCCCUGGCGCAACACCCCUCGGGGGACCGAGGAACGCGCUCUGCAAGGAUGCUGGCGUAAUGGUCGUCAACGACCCGUCUUGAAACACGGACCAAGGAGUCGAACAUUUGUGCGAGUGUUUGGGUGUCAAACCCUCACGCGUAAUGAAAGUGAACGGAGGUGAGAGCCCUUACGGGUGCAUCAUCGACCGAUCCUGAUGUCUUCGGAUGGAUUUGAGUAAGAGCAUAACUGUUCGGACCCGAAAGAUGGUGAACUAUGCGUGGAUAGGGUGAAGCCAGAGGAAACUCUGGUGGAGGCUCGCAGCGGUUCUGACGUGCAAAUCGAUCGUC